rnacentral:rRNA from 1 species
UUUUUCGGAGAGUUUGAUCCUGGCUCAGGACAAACGCUGGCGGAAUGUAUUAGGCAUGCAAGUCGAACGAGCCUUCGGGCUAGUGGCGAACGGGUGAGUAACACGUGGGUAACCUGCCUCGUAGUGGGGAAUAACUCGCUGAAAGGCGAGCUAAUACCGCAUAACACCCUCGGUGAGAAUCCGAGUGGUAAAAGCUUUAUGCGCUAUGAGAGGGGCCCGCGGCCGAUUAGCUUGUUGGUGGGGUAACGGCCUACCAAGGCGACGAUCGGUAGCUGGUCUGAGAGGAUGGUCAGCCACACUGGGACUGAGAUACGGCCCAGACUCCUACGGGAGGCAGCAGCUAAGAAUCUUGCGCAAUGGGCGAAAGCCUGA